GACGAACGCUGGCGGCGCGCCUAACACAUGCAAGUCGAACGAGAGAUGAGGAGCUUGCUCUUCAAAUCGAGUGGCGAACGGGUGAGUAACGCGUGAGGAACCUGCCUCAAAGAGGGGGACAACAGUUGGAAACGACUGCUAAUACCGCAUAAGCCCACGGCUCGGCAUCGAGCAGAGGGAAAAGGAGCAAUCCGCUUUGAGAUGGCCUCGCGUCCGAUUAGCUAGUUGGUGAGGUAACGGCCCACCAAGGCGACGAUCGGUAGCCGGACUGAGAGGUUGAACGGCCACAUUGGGACUGAGACACGGCCCAGACUCCUACGGGAGGCAGCAGUGGGGAAUAUUGCACAAUGGGGGAAACCCUGAUGCAGCGACGCCGCGUGGAGGAAGAAGGUCUUCGGAUUGUAAACUCCUGUUGUUGAGGAAGAUAAUGACGGUACUCAACAAGGAAGUGACGGCUAACUA
rnacentral:rRNA from 1 species